rnacentral:lncRNA from 1 species
AUUUAAUGCUAUUUCAAGAGAAAACCACGAAGUGACAGAAAGUUGCAUUUUUUACCUGCAGUUUUGUUUACUUUAGUUUAUAUUGGAGUCAAUAGUCUCACCAGCAACAAACCACCACACGUCACUGCUAUUAUGUGUUGCACUUAGGAAUAGGGUUGCCACCUAUGUCUGACAGAAAACCUGGACAUUUCGGCAACCCAAUCAACCAUUUUGCUUACAAGCAGUGGCGCCCUUCACACCUAACCCAAGACAAAAAUGACCCUUCUAAAGCGAAAUUGGACAUAACCUUGUGAUGGAGCUAUAUUGGUUUUGCUUUAAGUAUUUACUUUGUGGUUAAUGUCCAGUGGUGGAAAGAGGACAGAAAAUUUGUACUUACGUAAAAGUACAAUUACAUGGCUGACAUUUUACUCAAUUACAAGUACAAGAGUGAAGUAUUAGAAACUUCACUCUUCAUUCAACUGCUCUAAAUUGUUUAUCUCUAACAAGAAUAUCAUUGCACAGAUUAAUUCAAAAAUACAUACUGUAGAAUGAGGUGAAAAUGCGUUGUUAUAUUGAGAUGCUAAUGUUACCACGUGGGGAGAGCUAGCUCCUGUAAACUCCUCCAUAUAUGUUCUGUGCCUGAUUACUGACGCAUAUGUGUCCUAGUGGUUGUAAGACAGUCUCCUCGCGUUUUCGAUAGUACAGUCUCUCUUUCCCCGCGGUAAAAACAAACAGAGCCACGCUGAGUCAUAGAAGCGGACGCACGUGCGCACGGCCAAAGAGCGAGGGGAGGAGGCGGGGACGUGCGCCAGAACAGCCAAUGUCAGCCUCGCUCUCUUUGAGCUCUGGCCAAUCAGAGCAGGGAGCUGCUCUGUGUGGGGCGAUCAGCGGAGAAGAGAGAGAGACGGUGGAGGACUGCGCUGUAGUAGUGUCCCGGGAGAAUAUUUUAUUUCCCCGGGACAGACCAUUAAAAAGAAGGACAAUCAGGUUCUACUUCAAUAGUGUGCUUGCCCUUAGGCUGCGCUAUUGCAUAUCCCUAUGUAGUGAUACGGGUGUCGUGCCCUCCUCCCGUACCCUAUAAAAGGUGCUCCCUCUCUCUUGCUCGGCCCUCCUGACCUCUCCCCUCUGACGUCACACGCCGGCAAGAGCAGAGUGAUGGCCGCCGUGAGCUCACCGUAGCAUGUUGUGGUUAUUGAAGAAGUAAACGCGUUGUCAUCGUUCUCCAGCGUCAAGCCCCGGUAAUUCGCUACAGUUACUUGCGUAUGCUCGGUGAGUUGCGCUUUUAAACGUUUUAAACAUUCAACAUACUCGUACAGAGCUAACACCGCUAACUGUUUUUAGCUUCCUGGCUGUGGCUCCUUGUGUCGGGCUGUUGCGUCUCCGGUGCGGUCGAGGCAUGUUUGUGCGCAAUAUGGCCUUUGCUCACCACCUCGCUGGACAAACUGAUCCACGGCUGUGACCAGCUUUCUCAUGAUGAGA